rnacentral:lncRNA from 1 species
UUUCUCCGUUGUUGCUUUAUAUCAUUUAAGAUUUAUGGGAAUAUUUGACACAGUCCUUGAUAGAGUACUAGACCUACAAAUUUACAUAGUUUAGCUUAAUAGUUUCCCAUCAAUGAAACAAGGUGCCUAAUGUGUUUCAAUAAUGCUAAAACAGUAAGCAAAAAAGACAGUAAUUUUUAUAUGAAAAACAUCCAGCUCAAAAUGGUGUAAAAAACCAUGACUUGUACCUCUAUAGGAUUUCUCCCCUAACUUCACUAAACAACUUUAAGCCUCAACAAACAACAAAUUACAAGACUAUGUAAUCUAGGAAUUAUAAACUCUAACCCCUACUUCACAAAACACACAAACCUCUCAAAGUAAGUGUUCCCAAGUAUUCGAGUUCCCAAACUUGAAGACAAAAAUCCUACUUCAGUUUAUACUUCACUGAAACUAGAAUUAUAUCAGUGUUACAACUCAAUAACAAAUCUAAUACAUAGAAACUACGACACCUUAUUUUCUAAGUAGAAGAACUAGGUUCAACUACGUGUUUCUUCAAGCCAUGAACUACUCAAUCAAUUUUUCAAUUGCCUUUUUCUUUGUAAGUGUGUGAGUGACUGUGCAAGUCACUCCCUCUAUUUAUACACGACUCUCCAAAGAGUCCUUCAUUAGAUGUGUCUUCUAUAUCCUGUGAAACUCCCUACUCUUUAGUGUUUAUUGUGAAGUAGAAGUCCUACUUGAAGUUGAUCUCCUUGUUGAAGUAGAACUCCUUCUUCAAAUCAAUAUAUCUCUCUCUUAUCUUCAAGUACUGUAAUCAAACUCAAUAUCUUCAUCUACACACGUGAUAGUUAAUUUGAAGUUAUCUAUCUACUUCUUUAAUUCAGUCUUCUUGUCUUCAUAUACCGUGGACUUUCACUCUCGAAAGUGGAACAGAUUUAACAACAUGUUUUACUCUUUUUUUUUCAUUCAUCAAAACUUCAAGACACCAAUAAAUUCCCCCUUUUUGAUAAUGAUAAACCAUGCCUCUAGGCAUACACCAUAUUUCCUAAAAGACUUAAGCAAGAGACACAAGAAUGAAAUUGGUUAGACGUUGGGUUAUAAGCAUUGUACAAUCUAGGUGAAUUUUACCUCUUUUGGCAUCAUUGAAAAACAAAACAUUGAAAGAAGAAAAAACGGGAGUUAAGCUACUCAUGGACACUGGGGCUAUCACCAAGACAAUCAGAACUUAUCAAUCAAAAUUAAAGUGCAAUAAACAAAGAUGUAAUAGAAAACAUUCAAACAAACUAAGAUUUCAUUACAUUCAUUUCCAAAGUAUGAUCAUCACAUUUCUAAGACACAAACCAAAAGAAAAGAAACACAAUUGAGCAUAGGAGGGAAGGAGACAAAAACAAGGGAUCCUAGGGAGCUAAGAGAGGACACUAAUUAUGCAGAAGGAGAAGGUGAUAUCAGUUGUGUCAAACGAUGAAUAGUAGCAGCAUUAGUAACCCUCUCCUGAGCGGUUAAUUCUUAAGUUCAGCAAUUCUAGCUCUAAGUAUAGCAGUGUCCUAAGUAUGAUAAACCCUAGCUUCGUCCAGUUCUUUAAUUUUCUCUUCCAAUGCAUUUUGAGCCUAUUGAAGUGGAGUGUUUGCGCGUCUCAUUGAAUCAGGAAGAGAGGAGUAACGAACCCUGCCAAUAACAUCUUUGGUGGUAUGAUAUUCCCAAACUAGAAUUGGAAUAUCAAGCUCCUCAAAUAUUUCCCCAAGCUAGAACCUAUAAUCCAAGUAAUGACCAUUUUAUCCUAAUGAAGCACUCAAUUCAUGUGUUUCUAUCACGACCCGAGCCGGGGCCCUGGCCGUGACAAGCACCUCGAACCAUGGAGGCUCAAUCACUCUUCUACAUCUAGUAAUCAUGCACAAUACUCGAAUAAUAAAUAAAAGAUGUGGAAUUAUAAUAAACGGAAUCAUGGUCAUAAAUCUAAAAUCUGCUCGACAAUAUGUACAAUAAGUUUUCAACAUCUUUCUCAUCUGCGAAAUCCUUACUACAUAAGAUGUCAAUAACUUGUCUAAAUCUAGGACAAGGUCCCCAGUGGACCAAAACUAAGUAAAAUAACAACUAACUGAAAAGAAAUAGGCCUUCCGGAAUAAAGAAGACUUACAAACUACACACACUUCUCUUCUGUUGGAACAAGUCUACGACUUAGCAGAACCUCUAGACUGAGCCUCAAAUCCUGAAAGAUAGGGGGUCAAUACAAUUGUACUGGUACACAAAGAAAUUCAAAAUAAUACAUUUAUAUAUAUAAAAUAGAUGAGAGCAGGUCAUGAAACAUCAUGCAUGAUAUACGUCAAAAACACAUAGGCAAUUCUUUGAAAAUCAUAAAACAUUUUGAUCAAUGCAAUUCUGAUAUUUGUAUUACUUUUGAGUUAGGUGGCACGCCCCUACAAGUCUGAUAUUCCACGGGCUAUAUGGAAUCCGCUAUUGAAUCGACGGGGAAGCCCCCACGGGCUAUAUGAAAUCCGUCAUUGAAUCAGCGGGGAAGCCCCCAACCUGAGUUUUCCACAAGGGUUGGAGUGUCUGAGUCUGAUACACCAUAGGGUACUAGGCCAAUACAAAAUCCCUCUAGGGGAUGUAAUAACCCGUAUCGACAAAACACGAUUUUGGGUAAUGAGUUAUCUGAACUCGUGCCUUCUUCGGAGAACCACCUAACGUCUUUUUAUGCCUAAUUUUAGCCUUUUUUAAACAUACAUCUUUCUAAAUCCAAGAUCUAUAAGUCUGAGUAAAAUCUAAUUCUAUUUUAUUCUGUGUCUGAUAUGGCAUUGUCUAUAUUGGUAUCGUCAUACCAAGACUUGUAAGUCAUAUCUAAGUUAUUCAAUAUCAUUUACAGUUUUUCUCUUUCAAAACAUAGAGUUUUGACCACUAUACGUCAAACAAUUCAAGAAGAUUCGUACUUCAAAGCGUUUGUCAAAUUAUGUAAAAAUUAUUCUUUUUAGCAUUUCAACAAAUAUGUAGUGGUCAUUAAACUUGUGACAAAAACAUGCAAUCUUCUUAAUAAACAUCUUUAACCUUUAACACCAAGUAAAACACCCCCUCUUCAAUUCAAAACCAUAAUCAAAUCAUAAAUAAAAUCAAGACAUUUAUAUCAUAGUUCCAACAAUGCAUUUCGAAUAAAUCAUAACUUACGAAAACAAGAAACUUGCAAACAAGAGAGGGAUUUAUAAUAGAUCAUGCUCUCAAUUCAUUAUUUAAACUCAUCAAACACAUACACACACAUAUAUAUAUACUUAUACAUGGUUAUAAAUCAAAUUUGGGGGAAAGGCCUCAAGACCAAAUCAAUUUUACCAUUAAAGAAUUCAUAAAGCAAAAUUGUAAUGUAAGUUCCAAAACCCCUUCAAAAAUUCAUGAUUUCACAAUGUUUAAAUAUUGUUGAAACAAUUUCUUUAUGCACAUGUAGUUUUAGUAAAACCUCACGUACCUUAGAUUGCUUAGAAGGAAGAGUGGAAUCCGAAUCACACUUAAGUUCUUGAAAUCCUUGACUUCAAUGAUGAACUCUUGAUCUAUGGGGGAGGGACUAGGGUUUUGAUUAGAGAGAGGGAAGUAGGGACUUGAAGCAACACUACUUCAUUGACGUAGGUUUUGAUUAGGGACUAGGGUUUUGAUUAGGGACUUGAGAAUGAGAGAGGGAAGUAGGGACUAGGGUUUUGAUUAGGGACUUGAAGCAACACUACUUCAUCGACACGGCGUGCUGACUUUGCAUCAGGCCACUUCUUCCAACACCCAAAUACACCUCUAACGUUGUUCAAAAAUUUUGAGACUUACCCGAGAUAUACUAUUAACUUCCUCAAUCAUGAAUCAACUUAAAAAUUAACUUUCUGAGGUCGAAAAGGUCAAAAGGAAAAUUAUCAAAGGUUAGGGGUUCAAAAUGUAAAUAAGUCCUUUUGACACUAAGAAAAAUUUUCAGAAGAUUGACCCUCCAAGCAUACUACGAAGUGAUAUCAAGUCGAGAAAACUAUGAGGCGUCAUAGUUUCAAAACAAGCCUAGAGAGAUCAAUUUUGAUCUCAGAAUCCAGCAGCUCCAUUAAGUUCAUAUCCAAAUAAUAUGCCUCAGUCUUUCUCUAUUUUAUUUGGAGAAUCAUCUUAUGGACUACAUCAAAAUAAAGUUGAUGUAGUUGAGAUAUUUUAUAUUUUUCAACUGUAGGAUGGUGAGUGAGAGUAGGCUGCAUGAGAACUUUCUAGUGAUUUUCAAGGUUGCGUAAAAGGUAUGGAGAGGGGGCCACCCAUACGUCACAUAAUGACUCUAACCUCCAGAAGGAAUAUCCAAAAUACGAGCCACAACAUCACAAGUAAGCUUAAUUUGAAAUCCAAGCACAUUAGAGAUAAAUACAGAGCAAUCAAACUUUCCAUUGAUAUAGAACUUAGUCAUCUCUUUCUUAGCCUUCGUUGAGUGGUUCCUUGAAGGAAAAGUGUUGAAUACCCUUGUGCAAUAAUUUUGGUAAGAAGAACAACUAUUUCAGGUCCCCAUACCUAGUAAUAACUCUACCUCGCACCACUUUUUGCUUUUGAAAUUUGAUUAUGUCAUUAAGAGAUGGAAGAUAGGCUUAAAUGUAGCAAUGGAUUGAGAGGAAAAUUGAGGAAUUGAUGGAGCAGGUGGAGUGACCUAUUUCUUUGGAGUGUGAGAGGAGGGUGUGGAUUUGGUUAAUUCUUUUGGUGCAUAUUUAGAAGUUUUUUUUGGAGGAGGUUUUGAUAAAGAUGAAAAAUGGGUGGAGCAAAAAGAAUUGAAUUUUAGGAUAAUAUUUUUGACCUUUUUAUCACAGCAAAACCAACUUAGAAGAUAGUCAUCAUCAGGGUCAGACAAGGUAGCCUCUGAAGAUGGAGAACCAGCAUGAAUGAGACCGAUUAAGAGUGUGGGGGGUUAAUUUUGGAAUAGAAAAAGUAAUAAGUUCUUCAAGAAAUUCACUUUCAGGAACAAAAAUAGGUGCUUCAAAUAAUUUCUUGAGUCUAGAUCUGGCCCUUACUGGAAUGGUGUCAGAGGCAAGGGGUUCAUAAGUAGAAAUAGUUUGGAUAGGAACAAUUUCUUGAAACUGUUCGAAUGAGGGUUGAUUUAAUGAGUAGAUCAUAGCUCAAAACUUAUUCCAAGCAUUGAAAUCAGAUAUUUUGAAGGUAGGAACAAGAGGAAUUGUGGGUAUGAAAGGCUCGACUGGAAUAAGUUCCAUUGAAGAGGAUAAGCGUGGGUCAAUUUUUUCUUGAGAAGACAAAGUGGAGAGGGAGGAAGAUGAAGCCAUUUGGUGAGGAGGAAUAAGAGAUAUGAAGAAUGUAAGAACAAAAAUCUUAUUAGUUUAUAAGGUUCAAUAGGAGAAAUGGGGUUUAAAUAGGAGCAAAAUUAGAAUUGAUUUGUGAGAAGAGGAAAAGUUUUUGUCAGUGUAGACCUAAUAGGAUUAGAUUAUUUGAAUGUGACAUGACCAAUCGUGGUAACUUUUGUAGUGGGAAUGACUCUUCAAAAAUUUUCUAUUAAAGAAGAAAGAGAGAUGCAUUCAACAUAGGGAACAGAUAUGCUCAUGUGUUUCAAUUCAAGUAGAAGCAAAUAUUGACAAGUGAGAACAUACCUUUGGAUAUUUUAACACAAACAUCUAGUUUAGCUCAAUUAUCUUCUAAAAUCUAAAAAGAUGAUUUAAAAAGUAGAAUUAAGACACACAACUAAAUGUGUAAGAUUGAGUAGGUUAACAAAUAUAUUGCUAGCCUCAAUGUAAAGCAAUUUUUCUAGCUAGUCAUUGAGGGUAAUUUAUGCAAUUUUAAUCAUUCCCAAGUCUAACCUAUUCUAUUCAAAGUGUUCCCUACUUAAUAUCUUAAUAAAAUAUCUAUAAUUGGUUCUUUAGUAGCACAAAACAUUAAAGAAACAAGAACUUUUUCUAUAUUGUCCCUAAGAAAUGAUGUCUUAUAUCAAUAUGUUUAGUUCUUUUGUGCUGCACAGGAUUUUUUGCAAUAUUUAUAGCACUUAUAUUAUCAUAGAAAAUAAAAAAACAACCAAUAUCCAUUCCAAAAGCCAUGAGUUGUUGUUAAUCCACAAUAAUUGAAUACAACAUGAUCCAACAACAACAUGCUUAGCCGCAGCAGUAGACAAAGCUACAAAGUUUUGCUUCUUAGUACAACAAGAGAUUAAAUAUGAUCCAAGGAGGUAUGUCGUACAUGUGGUGUUUUUCCUACACUUUUGGAUACCAAAGACCAUGAUCAGUUGUUCCUUUAAAAUAUCUAAAGAUCCUCUUUACAGAUUUAAGAUAAGACUCCUUUGAAUCUGAUUGGAAUCUUGAACAUAAGACCACACUAAAAAAAUAUUAGAUCUACUAUCUGUGAGAUACAAAAGUGGCCCAAUCAUGCCUCUGUAUAGCUUUUGUUCCACAGAUGGACCUAUUUCAUCCAUAUCUAAUUUUGUGGCAGUGGCAAUGUUUGUGCUUAUCUCCUUUUCUUACUCCACGAAGAACCUUUUGAGAAGUUCCUUUACAUACUUUUGUUGAUGAAUCAUUGUUCCAGUAGCUGUUUGUUUGAUUUUUAAUCCCAUGAAAAAGUUAAGUUUUCCCAUCAUGCUCUUCUCAAAUUUUCUACUCAUGAGUUUUGCAAAGUCAUGAGUCAAGUUGAUAUUGGUAUAACCAAAUAUGAUGUAAUCUUCAUAAACCUACACAAUCAACAAAGCAUUCCCAUUAGUCUUUAAGAAAAGAGUGUUGUCAAUUUUACUUCUUGUAUGUCCAUGCUCCAAAAGAAUUCUUGACAAUCUUUCAUACCAAGCCCUUGGAGCUUGUUUCAGUCCAUACAAAGCUUUUUCAAGCUUAUACACAUGGUUAGGAAAUUCCUCACUUUCAAACCUAGGAUAUUGUUUCACAUAUACUUCCUCCUUGAGAUAACCAUUUAGAAAUGCACCCUUUACAUCUAUUUGGUAAAGAGUAAAUUCCUUGUAGGUAGCAAAAGACACAAGAAUUUUAAUUACUUCAAGUCUCGCCACAGGGGAAAAAGUCUUAUCAUAGUCUAUAUGUUCUUUCUAAUUGUAUCCUUGGACCACCAACCUUGUCUUGUUCCUUGUCACUGUCCAUGUUCAUCUACUUUUUUUCUGUACACCCACUUAGUUCCAAUUGCAAUUCUGUCUAGUGGAGGUGGUACUAAGUGCAAAACUUUGCUUCUUUCAAUCUAGUUAAGCUCCUCUUGUAUGGGAAGGAUCCAAUCUGCAUCAAAAUGUGCUUCAUUCACCUUUUUUGGUUCUAUCACUGGUAGAAAGGUUUUGAAGGUACACUAGUUCUUUAAUCUAGAUCUAGUGGUUAUCCCUGUAGUAAGAUCAGUGAUAACAUUCUCAAUUGGAUGAGACCCUUAAUACUUGUAGCUUUUUAGAAUCAAUCCUUGUGAGUUGCUGGACUCAUAGUGAAUGACUUCAGUUGGAGAUGCUGGUGGUUCAGUUUCCUCUGUCAAUGUGACUCUAGGGUGUUUUAUAGAUGGACCAGGUGGUCAACCUAUUCUUUAUCAUGUUCCUUAGUUUUAUUUUCUUUCUGCAGGUUAGUUUCAACACAUGAUUCAUCAAAAACAGCAUGCACACUUUCUUCAACAUAGUUUGUUUUCUUAUUUAAGACCCUAUAAGCUUUACUAUGGUGAUAAUACCCUAGAAGGAUUCCCUUAUCACUUCUUGUAUCACAUUUUCCCAAAUUAUCUUUUUCAUUAUUAUGAAUGAAACACUUGCAACCAAAGGUUCUAAAGUGAGAAAUAUUUGAUUUUCUUUCUUUGAUUAAUUCACAGGGAGUCUUGUCUAGAAUAGGCCUAAUCAUGCAUUUAUUUACAAUGUACCCAUCAGUAUUUAUAGCCUUAGCCUAAAAAAUAUUUGCAAGAUUUUCUGCAGGCAUCAUUGUUCCAUCCAUAUAUUCCAAGCUCAUAUAUUUCCUUUGCACUACUCCAUUUUGUUGUAGUAUUCUAGGACCACAGAAAUUAUGAUCCAUAUGAUUAGUGGAACAAAAUUCUAGAAACUUUUCAUUUUCAAAUUCAGUGCCAUGGUCAGAUCUUAUGAAAAUUACGAAAGUGCCUUUUUUUUCUAUUUUCUUAAUGAAAAUAGAAAAGACAUCAAAAGCAUCUUCUUUGAAUGCCAAAAACAGUAUUCAAGUAAACCUAAAAUAAUCAUCAAUAAUUACAAAAACAUUCCUUUUGGCUCUUUUUCUUUUAACUCUCAUUGGUCCACAAAGGUCCAUAUGGACCAGGUUAAGGCACUUAGUUGUACUGACAUGGUUCUUAGGUUUGAAAGAAGAUCUUACCUGCUUUUUUCUUGCACAAGCACUACAAACCUUAUCUUUUUUUAACUUGGUUUUGCGCAAUCCCUUCACCCCGUCCUUAGAGUUUACUUUGAAUAAUUUCUCUAGACUUGCAUGUCUAAGUCUUUUAUGUCAAAGUAGGGGAUCAUUUUCAAUUGCACUUAAACAAGUCAUUCAUGUUAAAGGCAUCCCCAUGAUAUCAGCUUUAUACACAUUUUUGUGUCUUCUAGAUUUAAGAACAACCUCCUUGGUAUCCAUCAUUUUGACCUUACAACCUACAGGAGUAAAAGUUACCGCAUUACCUUUAUCACACAAUUGUGAUAUGCUGAGCAAUUUGUCCUUUAGUCCUUCCACAAGUUAGACAUCUUCUAGUGCUUUGGAUUCAAAUUUGCCAAUUUUUCCAACUCCAGUAAUAGUAACCUUUUUGCCAUCUCAAAAUGAUACACCUCCCCCAUUAAUUUUAGAGAGUGAAAGAAUUUUUUUCUAGACUCCAGUCAUGUGUCUUGAGAAAGCAUUGUCCAAAUACCAAUGUCGCUUGACUCUAUUUAAACACUACUCCCCAAAGAGUCCUUCAUUAGAUGUGUCUUCUAUCUCUCAUGAAACACCUUACUCUUUAGUGUUUGUUGUGGAGUAGAAGUCCUACUUGAAGUUGAUCUCCUUGUUGAAGUAGAACUCCUUCUUUAAAUCUAUCUCUUUCUCUUUUAUCUUCAAGUAUUGUAAUCGAACUCAAUAUCUUCAUUUAUACACAUGAUAGUUAAGUAGAAGUUAUCUACUGUGCCAUUUUAUCUACUUCUUUAAUUCAACCCUCUUGUCUUCAUAUACAGUGGACUUUCACUCUCG